GUAACUGAAUGAUGAUAUAAUUUGCGAUCUAGGGCUAAUCACUUGGAACACCGCCAUGUUCUAUAUGGGUGAUUAGCGAAGUGCGAAAAAUUUUUUAUCUGAUAUUUUC
rnacentral:snoRNA from 13 species